rnacentral:rRNA from 1 species
AUUAGUGGCGAACGGGUGAGUAACACGUGAGUAACCUGCCCUUAACUCUGGGAUAAGCCUGGGAAACUGGGUCUAAUACCGGAUAUGACUCCUCAUCGCAUGGUGGGGGGUGGAAAGCUUUUUUGUGGUUUUGGAUGGACUCGCGGCCUAUCAGCUUGUUGGUGAGGUAAUGGCUCACCAAGGCGACGACGGGUAGCCGGCCUGAGAGGGUGACCGGCCACACUGGGACUGAGACACGGCCCAGACUCCUACGGGAGGCAGCAGUGGGGAAUAUUGCACAAUGGGCGAAAGCCUGAUGCAGCGACGCCGCGUGAGGGAUGACGGCCUUCGGGUUGUAAACCUCUUUCAGUAGGGAAGAAGCGAAAGUGACGGUACCUGCAGAAGAAGCGCCGGCUAACUACGUGCCAGCAGCCGCGGUAAUACGUAGGGCGCAAGCGUUAUCCGGAAUUAUUGGGCGUAAAGAGCUCGUAGGCGGUUUGUCGCGUCUGCCGUGAAAGUCCGGGGCUCAACUCCGGAUCUGCGGUGGGUACGGGCAGACUAGAGUGAUGUAGGGGAGACUGGAAUUCCUGGUGUAGCGGUGAAAUGCGCAGAUAUCAGGAGGAACACCGAUGGCGAAGGCAGGUCUCUGGGCAUUAACUGACGCUGAGGAGCGAAAGCAUGGGGAGCGAACAGGAUUAGAU